CCUCAGGAUCCUUAUGUCUGACCAUCAUCUUGAGCCAGAAACUGUGUGAACGGUGACCAACGGGCUGCUUCUGGUGUGUCCUAUUAAACUGGAAUGAUCUGUUAAUGUUGGUUCUCCCUGACAACAGAAAGAAUUAUAUUUUGGUCAUCUGUGCAUCUAUGCUCCUUCUUCCUCCCUAACUUGUGGGAAGUGAUUCCCUCAGUUAUUGAGCUACUGCUGUGGGCCAGGAGGCUGGCCAGGAACCAGGCAUGGAGAGAUGGCAAUGGCACAGAAUCUGUCCCUGAUAAACACAGAAGGCUAAAGAUCCAGUAACAGAUUCUUUCUUCCAAGGCCAAUCCAAGCCAUUGGAGUCUGCUCGCUUUGAAGCCAGAGCACUGAGAUUUGGCAGCCUUUAUCCAUGAACACUGCUGUGUCCCAAACUCUAACCCUACAAGAAGGGAAUUUUGAU